rnacentral:rRNA from 1 species
CUACGGAGGGUGCGAGCGUUAAUCGGAAUUACUGGGCGUAAAGCGUGCGUAGGCGGUUUGCUAAGUCAGAUGUGAAAGCCCCGGGCUUAACCAGGGAACUGCAUUUGAUACUGGCAGACUAGAGUAUGAUAGAGGGGGGUAGAAUUCCUGGUGUAGCGGUGAAAUGCGUAGAUAUCAGGAGGAAUACCAGUGGCGAAGGCGGCCCCCUGGAUCAAUACUGACACUGAGGUACGAAAGCGUGGGGAGCAAACAGGAUUAGAAACCCUUGUAGUCC